CCUAUGGGUGGCUGCAGUAGGGAAUAUUGCUCAAUUGGGGAAACCCUGAAGCAGCAACGCCGCGUGGAGGAUGAAGGUUUUCGGAUUGUAAACUCCUUUUGUUAGAGAAGAUAAUGACGGUAUCUAACGAAUAAGCACCGUCUAACGCCGUGCCAGCAGCCGCGGUAAUACGGAUGUUGCAAGAGUUACUCGGAAUCACUGGGCGUAAAGAGCGCGUAGGCGGGAUAGCUAGUCAGAUGUGAAAUACUAUGGCUGAACCAUAGAACUGCAUGUGAAACUGUUAUUCUAGAGUAUGGGAGAGGUAGGUGGAAUUCUUGGUGUAGGGGUAAAAUCCGUAGAGAUCAAGAGGAAUACUCAUUGCGAAGGCGACCUGCUAGAACAUAACUGACGCUGAUGCGCGAAAGCGUGGGGAGCAAACAGGAUUAGAUACCCCUGUAGUC
rnacentral:rRNA from 1 species